GAUAAACGCUGGCGGCGCGCUUCAGGCAUGCAAGUCGAACGGACCUUCGGGUCAGUGGCGGACGGGUGAGUAACACGUAAGCAACCUGCCCAAAAGUGGGGAACAACUUGCCGAAAGGCGAGCUAAUACCGCAUGUGAUGGUCUUUCUACGGGAGGAUCAUCAAAGGCUUCGGCCGCUUUUGGAGGGGCUUGCGCUCGAUUAGCUAGUUGGUGGGGUAAUGGCCUACCAAGGCUUCGAUCGAUAGCUGGUCUGAGAGGACGGUCAGCCACACGGGGACUGAGAUACGGCCCCGACUCCUACGGGAGGCAGCAGCUAGGAAUCUUGGGAAUGGGCGAAAGCCUGACCCAGCAACGCCGCGUGGGCGAUGAAGGCCUUCGGGUCGUAAAGCCCUUUUGUGGGGGAAGAUGAUGACGGUACCCCACGAAUAAGCCACGGCUAACUACGUGCCAGCAGCCGCGGUAAUACGUAGGUGGCGAGCGUUGUCCGGAUUUACUGGGCGUAAAGGGCGUGCAGGCGGUUCGUUAAGUUCGAGGUGAAAGCUCCCGGCUCAACUGGGAGAGGUCCCCGGAUACCGGCGGACU
rnacentral:rRNA from 1 species